UACGGAGGGGGCUAGCGUUGUUCGGAAUUACUGGGCGUAAAGGGCGCGCAGGCGGCUCAUUUUGUCAGGCGUGAAAGCCCCGGGCUUAACCUGGGAACUGCGUUUGAUACGGAUGGGCUAGAGUUCGGGAGAGGAGAGUGGAAUUCCCAGUGUAGAGGUGAAAUUCGUAGAUAUUGGGAAGAACACCGGUGGCGAAGGCGGCUCUCUGGACCGAUACUGACGCUGAGGCGCGAAAGCGUGGGGAGCAAACAGG
rnacentral:rRNA from 1 species